rnacentral:rRNA from 1 species
CGCUGGCGGCGUGCCUAAUACAUGCAAGUCGAACGCACUCUCGUUUAGAUUGAAGGAGCUUGCUCCUGAUUGAUAAACAUUUGAGUGAGUGGCGGACGGGUGAGUAACACGUGGGUAACCUGCCCUAAAGUGGGGGAUAACAUUUGGAAACAGAUGCUAAUACCGCAUAAAACCUAACACCGCAUGGUGUAGGGUUGAAAGAUGGUUUCGGCUAUCACUUUAGGAUGGACCCGCGGUGCAUUAGUUAGUUGGUGAGGUAAAGGCUCACCAAGACCGUGAUGCAUAGCCGACCUGAGAGGUAAUCGGCCACACUGGGACUGAGACACGGCCCAGACUCCUACGGGAGGCAGCAGUAGGGAAUCUUCCACAAUGGACGAAAGUCUGAUGGAGCAACGCCGCGUGAGUGAAGAAGGUUUUCGGAUCGUAAAACUCUGUUGUUGGAGAAGAAUGUAUCUGAUAGUAACUGAUCAGGUAGUGACGGUAUCCAACCAGAAAGCCACGGCUAACUACGUG